rnacentral:lncRNA from 1 species
UUGGAUUGGCUGGUUAAUGUUUACCAGGUUUUUCGUUUUUUCAUUUACAUAUAUCUCCGUAGCUUCCGCUAAUGACCCAUGCUCGUCCUUUUCAAAUGUCCUAACUAUUCUCGCUUCAUCCCAAUCAAUUCGCACGUCAUACUCCAAGAUUCUGGUGAAGAAGGCUGUUGUUGUUUUUCUUAUGCUUACAUCUCUCCUGUGCUCUGCUAUCCUUUUCUCUAAUGAUCUUGUCGUGACCACUAUGUAGAUUUCAUUUUCCUCUGUAUUCAAAUUCUUGAGCGGUAUGCUAUACACUUCUGACUUCUUGGUAUGUUCUAUUUUAUCUUUAUCAUUUAGGAGCUGGUUAAAGAUAGUCGAGUAUCUGCUGUAAGUCCAUUUCUUAUCAUGCCUUGCUUGCUUGUCUUUCAAAAACCUGUAUCCUUUCAUUGCAUAGGGUAUCGCUUGGUAUGCAAUUUCUGCAUCAUCAUUUGGUGUUACUUCCCUUUUAUUUUUUUAUGAUAGAAUGAAAUAUGAUAUUUUGUUUAUAUAAUUUUGAUAAGGAGAUAUAAAAGUAUAUAAAAAUUCAUUAAAAAUUAAUAAAAUAUAG